ensembl:lncRNA
CUAUAGCCUUCCAGGUUCCUCCAUCCAUGGGAUUUUGCAGGCAAGAAUACUGGAGUGGGCUGCCAUUCUCUUCUCCAGGGGAUCUUCCUGACCAGGGAUCAAAACUGUGUCUCCUGCUUGGCAGUCCUGUGGGAUCUUAGCUCUCAAUCAGGGAUUGAGCCCAUAUAUCCUGCCCUGGAAGGCAUUCUCAACCACCGGACUACCAGGGAAUCCCUCCUGCGCUAAUUAAUUUAUCCAGCCCUGCCUAUCUUGGCCUUGUAGGCUACAGUCCACGGGGGUCACAAAGAGUCGGACACGACUGAGCAACUUCACUCACUCACUAAAAAUUCAUAUGGUGAAAUCCUCACCACAGUUUCUCAGGAUGUGACCUUAAUUGGAUCAUUGCAGAGAAGAAGAGGUGAAGACACAGACAUGCACAGAGGAAAGACAGUGUGAUGACACAAGGAGAAAACGACCACCUUCACACCGAGUAGAGAUGCCUUUGAGGAGACCCGCGCUGCUGACACUGUACAGCCCUGGCCCCCAGAGCUGUGAGAAAAUACAUUUCUGCCAUU